rnacentral:lncRNA from 1 species
AGCCUUCAGACCAAGAGGAUCACAGUAUACACAGCAAGCAGCCUUAGAUAUAGAUGUAUAUUAAAGAAAACACGAAGACUCAAGAGACCAAGGAUUGAAUGCUGGAAAUAAGAAUAUGGCAAUUGGACUUGAAGGAAAAUGGUGUCUCUACAAUUAAUCAUCAUGGGAUUUGGACCCUGAGACUAGUUUGACUAUGUUUAGGAGAUCAUCCCUGCAGAAAAUACAAGGCAGAAAUUUCACAGCAGCAUCCUUUGGGAAGGUGCUACAGACCAUCGUUAUAGAGAAAAACAUGCCUACCGAUGGAUCAAUAGAAUUCCUGGUGUAGCGCCCUUCUUUUCUUUGUUGUUCUGUUGAUUACACUGGGAGUAUAGUGAAAUAACUACCAGGCAGUUACCAAAAGUCUUCACAGAAGAAAUCACUUGACAGUUUCACCUGAGCUCCACUGCUG